AUUGAAAUACAAGACGUUUUGCCUUUUCAUGAUCAAAAAGGGAUAUACGAUUUUUUAAAAUGGUUUGAUUUUCAUUUUAUGUUUAGAAUAACACAAAAGUAAAAUCAGUAAGAGACAGAAAUGAAGAAAGGUCCGUUUUUUCAGACCGGAAGUGGUCAUUAGCAAGUAUGGAGCCAAACAGGGUACGGUGCAUAGACUGUAUAUAUGUAUAUAUAUUUAUAAAAUAAAUCAAUACUGAAUUUUUUUUAGAGCGUUAAAGUUUUGCGGAGCCAGGGGGCGGGGUUACUUGAUUGACAGUCCGGUCUGGAAUGAUUGACAGGUCCUAUGGAGGAAGCAGCAGAGACUCUGCUCUCCUCGUUUGGAUUAAUUCUGAUAUAAUAACUGUUGGUUUAUUUAUCGGUGGCGCAGCAGAACAUUUUCCACAGACAGUUUUCCUGCCCGUUGGCUUGUUUUAACCAGUUUUCUACCUUCGGCUGAUUCUACCAGCAGACACUGAAAGGACUCUGAUAGUUCGAGUGAAAGCAGCAGUUCCUCCUUAAGGUCAGAGAUUGCAGCAUCUGAGGGCCUCUUCAAAAGAAGACGUAGUUGAUGAAGGCGUUCUGGAGCAGGACCAGAAAGACCACGACCAAGCAGCCUUGAGAUCUUAGGCAGCGUCUCCCUCAGGUCCCUCUCUAUCUCCCCACACAUCCACCAAGCACUGGAACACAUCUCCAAAGUUCUGCCGGGCCAGCUCAGCUUCCCCUCAGAAGAAGUUCCACCAGAUGAAGGAGCCUUUUGAGAGGCAGCUGGCAUCGUGAUUGGACUGUACUUUGGUCUGUUCCAAUCCAGCUUCAGCUCCAGAGACGGCAGGCGGGACGAGUCAACGGAGGCCGGGUGGACGAAGGCAUGCAGCUGAGUACAAUCCAGAAAAAAACAGAGGAGGAGUGCAGCGGCCAGAACACACAGAGUAUGUCUCUUAGAAAACAUCAUAGUAUAGCCUUUGCUAUGAAAAAAUGCCAUCAUAUACAUCGUAUAUUGUACAAAUAACAAAUGGAAGGAAAGAGACAUACAUUGUAGAAUUGUAGUAAUUGUGGGCUGACUGAUUUACUGAUUAUCAGUAUUUUAUUUUUUACUGAUUUACGGUAAUAAAUACAUUUAAAAAUGGCGCUACUUUGGCUCUGAACCUUUAUCUACCUGUGGUCGCUCUGUCUUCUGGAGUGAUUUGAUUGGUUAUAUGUCACGAAUAAAACUCCUUUAACUUAACAUCUGUAAACAAAACAAAAACGUAUCAACAAAGUUUUCUGUUAGAGUUUGUGUUCUUCUAAGUUUAACUCCAAGAUUUUAAAUACUUUCAUUUACUGCAAAUGAAUAUCUACUCCAAAUGUCUCACUAAUAAUCAUUAUUAGCCUUAAAAACACACAGAACACCCCUCUAUACUCGACCACGCUUAGUAUAGUCCGAUUCCCCCUUCUAUAAAUCUGCUUGGAAUCUUCCACUUCCUGUUUGUCAAAGUGGCCUUCGACCUGGACAGGUUUUGUUGGAGCUCAUGCAACAAACAUUUUGGGUAACUGCACUUUAAUAUGGAUGGAUGACACUGAAUUAGAGUCUGUUUUAAUGAGACUGAGUUAAGAUGUGUAGCUCUGUCAUUAAAUAGGAAAUUAUUUCUCAGAAUUCACAGAGAAAAGUCUGAAAUGUUUGCUAGGUUAGCGUCCCACAUGUUCUUUGGCUCAGCUAAAGCUAACUCUCUCCAACUUCUGGAUCUCUUGAGUUGCUUGUUGUUAAAAUAUCUUGCUGUAGGUGCUGAAGCUCAGAAAGUCUGAGAUGUUUGUUCAAAAUAAGCUCAUUCUCAAGUCUUAUCUGAACUGUCCUCUUUUGUUUGAACUUUCCCUAAACUUAGGAGUUAAUGACAGAGCAGCACAUCCAGACUGAGUCUCAUUUAUGUAGAGAUUAAACUUCAGUGUCAUUCAUUGAUGUUAAAGUGCAGUUUUUCAAAUGUUUGUUGCACAUGCUCCCGACCAAACCAGUCCAGGUGGAAGACGAUGUGAAGAGAAAGCUCCAGAGGAUGAAUAUCACACAUUUACGUUGGAAAUAAAUGUCCUUUAAUUAGACAUUGUCAUGC